rnacentral:ncRNA from 1 species
UUAAAUAUAAACAAAACAGGUGUCGGUUGCAAUCCACUGUAUUGCAGGCCGAUUAAAAGGGAAGAGGGGUGAAAAUCCCCCGCGGUCCCGCCGCUGUAAGAGAAGAGUUCCUCCAGGAAUGCCACUGUAGAAAUAUGGGAAGGUAGGAGGUAAUGAUGACGCUUGAGCCAGAAGACCUGCCUGUUUUGACAGCUAACA